rnacentral:tRNA from 1 species
CGGCGCGCUCAUCGCGGUCGGCACGCUGGCCGAGCAGAUGACCGGCCGCACCCCCGGCUACAUCCGCGUGGUCCGC